GCCGCUCACCUUCUCCCUCCCUAAAUCAAGCUCUUUCUCCUCCACACAAGAAUGGGGUGCUGCCUCGAUCUCCCUCUCCAAGACGCCCCUACCCAAGGUGAGCCUAUGCCGAGCUUCCCCAUCCACUCAUCUCUCUUCCUAUGCCCUUGGAUUUGAAAACGGCAGCUGAAAUUGCCGUUUUGGCAGAGCUCCAGGGAGCUCUGGCCACUGCCAUGGUGGACGAGCUCGAAGAGAAAGAGCUCCUGUACUCCCGUGUCUGUCUCUCUCCCCACUCCGUUAUUUCUUCCUAGGCCCAAAACACUAAUCAAACCUAUAGCCAACCGUGUGAGCCCAAAACACCACUAGGCCAUUCACGUGCAAAUAAAGGCCCGUGAAGCACCCACCCAUUUAUGUUAAUCCAUUUUCGGAAUUUAAUUAAUACCCAAUCUUUACACAGCCAUACCUCAGCCAUCCAAACUCCGAUUCACUUAGAUUCUUUUUUCGAAAUUCCUCUAACAUCAUAUUCUAUCUGUUCCAGCUAUCCUUCUCUCCAUUUGAGCUCAUUUCAUUUUUUUUGUGUUUAUGCUUGUUUGUGUUUGUUUGUCAUUGCGCCGUCGUUGCCGUAGCCGAUGGAGUAACCGAGGUGGAGAACGACUUUGAAGGCCAGUACCGUGAGCCGGAGUAUGAAGGCUAGGAUCGUGAGCUAGAGUCAGAAGACCUGUACUACGAGCAGGAGGUUCCAGAAGGCUUCGAGGAUGGCAAGUCCAACCUAUUCCCUCUUGGUCAUAUUUAUCCCAGUUUUCAAACACAACCUGUAGAAGCCUUUUUAUAAAUUGCAUCCAGUUAUAUAUAUGCUCAGAUUAUUUUACUACUUGAUCUAGUUAAAACCCGGUUGGAUAGCCACUCCUUGGUUUUAUAUAUCUUGAUAAUACCUUGAUGACAUAGGAUUUAUCGCUAGACAUGAUACGCUUUGUUUAGCCGAUUACCUUGAUAUUAAUACGCUUCGGAAUCGGUUACUCAACCUCAUUACUACUUAUUUUACAAAUGAAAUGGUUUACAAAACAUAAAAUGUGUUGAGUGUGUUGGUGUGAGUAUGGAUUGGGAUUUCAGAAAAGUGAUAAAUAAACAACUCGGUGUUGGUGAUUUUUUAGAUGAGGCGGAUCAGGGUUCCUUGUGUAGGAAGCCUUGGAGUAUUGGCUCAUGCCUGUGUGGCUGCGUAUGGAAGAUAUCCAAUUUGUCUUGAUUAAGGAUCGAGUUGAUGUGUCAUCUUGCCUAACCCAACUUAUCGUACAAUCACUCGACCUUUGUGUGUAGCAAAGGCUUAGCAUAAACCCCACUAGCUAGUCCGGUAGCCGUUCGUAGGCGGGUGCGCAACGGGAGGCCAAGGAGUAGGCGUAAGAAAGUACUGGAUUAGUGGCCCGGUUGAAAAUCUGGUAGGAAGGUGAGGAACCCCUUGGCUAGCUCUCGUGGACGACUAGGCGAGACUAUGCUAUGGUGGGUAAUGGCUUUGAUGGAUCUACACCGGCACUACGGUGUUCGUGUUGCAGUACCCUACUUGUGGGUAAAGUGUACACCUCUGCAGAGUUAAAACCUAUUCCAAUAGCCAUGUUCACGGUCUUGGACGAGUUAUGGCUUGGUCACAUAACUAGCUAUUUGGGAAAGAUGGGCAAACCUUAUGGUAUAAAUUGGAUUUUGGAAAUAUCCGGCAAGUGUGCUGUGUGCUACCAUGGACGGGGUAUCCAGUAGCACUUAAAAACUUGGAUCCUUUGUGUAGGAUCACCCUACUCUUUCAUAACUACCAUAAUAUGAAAAGCAUGUGUUUUGCAAAAACCGCUUUAUAAAACUAAACAUUGCAUGUGUACAAAAUAUUACUUUCUGCAAAAUAAACAUUAGCCUAUUCCUUAAAUUAUCCUUAUGCAUGUAUUCUUAUACCCCUUCCUUAGGGUGGGGUUAGAUUUGCUGAGUACGUAUGUACUCACCCUUGCUUUGUUGAUACAUAGGAAGACCCGGACUACGUCGCUGGUGAAGCUUUCGAGUAGAAGGUCGCCUCCGCACCCAACUUGGUUGUGGCGUUGGGCUCUUAAGGAUGUUUCCGCUGUCGUGCAGUGUUGUGUGCUGCUUAUGGACUUGGAUUCCAUAGGUUGCAUCUACAGCCUAUUUGUGUUGUAUCUCUUUUAGGUCUAUGUUACCCGACCGCCCCCUAGAGAGUUGUACGGCUUUUGAACUAUCUGUUGAAUAAAUGUGUGUACCAGCCUUCCUGGGACUAGUAUUUGUAUCACAUUUAGUCCAUGUGCAAAUGGUGGUGCUUCAGUACUCCGCGAAUUUGUAAAAUUACUA
rnacentral:lncRNA from 1 species